rfam:Gossypium hirsutum cultivar TM-1 unplaced genomic scaffold scaffold3045.1, whole genome shotgun sequence
UUUUGAAAAUUUUAUAAAUUUUUACUGUUAAAAACUAGCAUGACAAAUAAAAUAAUCAGACACUGACAUGUGAUGUGUCAUGUAUACCUCAUGCUGACAUAUAUGAACUAAUUUUUAAUAAUAGAAAUAGAUGAAAUUUACUC